GGGCAAGCGUUAUUCGGAAUUAUUGGGCGUAAAGGGCGCGUAGGCGGCUUGACAAGUGGAAGGGGAAAUCCCUCGGCUUAACCGAGGAACUGCCUUCCAGACUGUCUGGCUUGAGACCGGGAGAGGUGAGUGGAAUUCCCAGUGUAGCGGUGAAAUGCGUAGAUAUUGGGAGGAACACCAGUGGCGAAGGCGGCUCACUGGACCGGUACUGACGCUGAGGCGCGAAAGCGUGGGGAGCAAACGGG
rnacentral:rRNA from 1 species